rnacentral:tRNA from 1 species
UGCAUCGGCCGGGAAUCAAACCCUUUGGCCACCCGCGUGGCAGGCGAGCAUUCUACCACUGAAGCACCGAUGC